CCUACGGGAGGCAGCAGUGGGGGAUAUUGCACAAUGGGGGAAACCCUGAUGCAGCGACGCCGCGUGGGUGAAGAAGUAUUUCGGUAUGUAAAGCCCUAUCAGCAGGGAAGAAAGAAGACGGUACCUGACUAAGAAGCCCCGGCUAACUACGUGCCAGCAGCCGAGGUAAUACGUAGGGGGCGAGCGUUAUCCGGAUUCACUGGGUGCAAGGGGAGCGUAGGCGGCCGUGCAAGCCAGGAGUGAAAGCCCGGGGCCCAACCCCGGGACUGCUCUUGGAACUGUGCGGCUGGAGUGCGGGAGGGGCAGGCGGAAUGCCGGGUGUAGCGGUGAAAUGCGUAGAUAUCAGGAGGAACACCGGCGGCGAAGGCGGCCUGCUGGACCGCGACUGACGUUGAGGCUCGAAAGCGUGGGGAGCGAACAGGAUUAGAUACCCGGGUAC
rnacentral:rRNA from 1 species